UUUUAUGGAGAGUUUGAUCCUGGCUCAGGAUGAACGCUGGCGGCGUGCCUAAUACAUGCAAGUCGAGCGAACGGACGAGAAGCUUGCUUCUCUGAUGUUAGCGGCGGACGGGUGAGUAACACGUGGAUAACCUACCUAUAAGACUGGGAUAACUUCGGGAAACCGGAGCUAAUACCGGAUAAUAUUUUGAACCGCAUGGUUCAAAAGUGAAAGACGGUCUUGCUGUCACUUAUAGAUGGAUCCGCGCUGCAUUAGCUAGUUGGUAAGGUAACGGCUUACCAAGGCAA
rnacentral:rRNA from 1 species